AUUUUAGUACAAGUAUAUCCCAUGCAGUAUUUGUGAUAUACUAACUAAAU
rnacentral:pre_miRNA from 1 species